GGGAGCGGGGAGAGAGCGGAAGCGGAAACGCGCUGCUCCAGACCCCGCCCUGCUGGCGCGGUGAGCCGCUGCGGGCGGUCAUUUCCUUAGCAACUCGCCCCGCCCUCGGUGACAACGGCCCGCCCAACCGCCGCUCCCGCGAGACUGGUCGCCACACCCACCAACGGCCGCGGCCCGAGGGGGCGGCGGGAAGGAGCGGCCAUCUCUCUCCGCUGACCCUCCUUUGCUCUGCGCCUCUGGCCUCAGCAUUUUUUGCCAGAAGUCUCUUUUGUGUGGGGCCUAGAGCUUCCACUCGUGUCCUGCGGUGUUGUCAGCCCUGUCCCCUCCCUCUGUCCCUCCGCACGCCCUCAGCUUCCGACAAACCCCGCCGCGUUGGGUUGAAUUAAAGUUGACGAGCGUUUGUUCUGCGCCUCUGCGGUGUUUAGCCAGGCUCUGUGAGGCCUGUACUGACAAAGGAAAACGGUCCGUGAAAACAUUCGAGUUGAUACAGGGCACCAAGGGGCCAGUCCUUGGUGGUCCCUGUCCUACAGACUCUGCCUGUCUUUCCCUUGGAACGCCAGUGAAGCUAUGGGUCCAUAGCUUGUGUUGCUCCUGCUCUCCCACCUGAAUCAAAUGGGUACUUCCUUGUCCCAUGAGACUUCAAAGGUGAGGAGGACUGCCUCUCCAGAACUUGGUUUGCUCAUAGGUGAUCACAAAACUGGACCACACUGAGAGGUUCACCUGGUCCUCAUGCUUCAUUCAGAAAGCCAGAAAGGUCUGCUGUCUCACAGGCUGUACCAUGUAAAGGCAGAGCCUCCAAAUUCUGGGUGGCACUGGAGACUCCUGAUAUUGCAUUGGAGGAGGUAUUUCUUUUCCCUCAAGAAAAAGUAUAGUUUUUCUGAAGACAUUCCUGAGUGGAAAUAAACAGAAAAAAAGAAAAGAUCUUCCAACACCCUUGCCUGCCAUUGGCAACAGGACUUUAAGGUAUGGCACAGUUUGGAGAUUCUUGGGGUGGGGGGUGAGCCUGCAUUAUAAGAAAUCUGAGCAGCCACUUCUAGUGAUAGAUGGGUCUUGUAGAACUGAAGAACCUGAACAAAGGUUGUAUCCUUGAGAACAAAGUAAGAAGGUGUGAGCUUAGUGGUGGAGUGUGUGGGAUUAGCAUGUGCAAAACCCUAAUUCAAUCUCUCAUACCCCACCAACAGAAGAAAGACAUUUAUGGCCAUUGGGAUGAGGCAUGUGAGGAGCUUGGAAGAAGGGAUGUUGAGGCCCAGGACAGCAGUGGUCUAGAGCAAGAAUAGAUGCAAAAAUGAGAGUAACAUCCAGGGGCAACACAGUUAACCACUCUGUUCUAUUUGUUUUGUUUGAGACAGGGUUUCUCUGUGUGUGUAACAGUCCUAGCUGUCCUAACUAGCUCUGUAGACCAGGCUGGCCUUGAACUCACAGAGAUCCACCUGCCUCUAU